GUGCUCACUUCGGCAGCACAUAUACUAAAAUUGGAACAACCCAGAGAAGAUUAACAUGGCCCCUGUGCAAGAAUGUCUCUGACACGGAUAUCAUUGCUUUUUCU